rnacentral:tRNA from 1 species
GGAGGUGUAGCUCAAUAGUAAGGUACUUGCUAGAAUAUCAAGACCCUGGGUUCAAUCCCAGCACCACCA